UAUCAAAGGAGAAGAUAACAAGCUUGGGCAUGGAACUGACUCCGUUGGCAAUAAGCAUCAAGGAGACCAUCGAGAGCUUGAAAGAGAAAGGAUUUGUUACUUUUGAUUCAAGCAACCUGUGAAACAACAGAGCCCCAUGUGAGAACUUGAUUGUCAUAACGAGUAGCAUCCCGGGAACUUUGCACGUAAUUAUUACAAUUGUAGUCUGUACUGCGACUUGAAAUAAAGUGGAGGCAAAUUGCAAUGCCUUGAUUAUUCUGAGGUGUUUCUUGGCGCCUCAUGAGAACAUUUAACAAGUGAAUUGCUUUCCCACCCUACAUUUCUGAUGUUGAAGUUUAGCUUUCGACAGAGAGUGCUCCUUAUAUGUCCUUGAAAUUUGCCUGAUGAUCUCCAGAUUCUUAAGUUUUGCUUCAUCCCAUAUGGUUCUUAAAGUAUUUAUUUUCAUCUUCUACAUGCUUGUUCUGUUAGUUGAUUCUGAGAUGUCAAGUAGAAAUUUUUUGUUUUAGCAAAUCAUCAUAUUACUCUCCUGGAGCUCACCUGGAUGUGAGGGAUUAAAGUUCACCUGUAUCUUGUAAUCUUGAGCUUGCGAGAGGAGGAAGGAAGGAGCUCGCUAAGAAGGCCGGGGUGGUCACCGGUAGUAGUAUAAGUGUGGGCAUAAAUACACGACCUCUAAGAGAGUGAACUAUGCACUCUAUUACUAUUAUUGGUCAUGUAGGAACUUCAACUAUAGAAUUGUAAACGUGGCCUUAUACUUCUGUAAAUAAAUUUUGUGAAUAUUAGAUAAUGUAAUAAUUAUUUUAUUAAAAAUUAUCUUUGCAAUUUUGUGAACUUAAUCUUCUAAUAAUUAUGAAAUUAGUAUAUAAAUUUGGCCUUAUGAGCUCUGAAAUUACCAUCCAAACUUGAAACUCGUAAUUGCAAUGGGUAACAACCUGUAAUUAAUUAUGGGCAAAAGUCACUAUUAACGGGUGGUUUGUUGCUAUUUUGUCAGUUUGUUUAAAUAAUAAUCACAUUAACAUAUGCUAGACAAAUAAUUUCGAAUGCUUGAUUUAUGAUUACAUUUAAAAGAGUUUAUAAUAUCUUAUUUGUACUACUAAAUUGAGUCGUAGCGUUAGCACAUGUAAAUAAUAUAUAUACUAUGUCCUAGACAUUUACGUAUUACUUUCAUGUUUUAAUAUAUAACAUUUUGACUUUUAGACUCAAUAUUUAUCCCUUUAUUUUAUUAAAAUAUAUAUAUUAUAGUUAAAAUAUUUGUAGUGAUAUCAGAACAAAAUAAACGAUGCUUUUAGAAAAGAAAAUUUAAUCAGAGAAAUGAUUAAAUUUCGCAUCAAAAAUCAUUUCGUUAUACAUUUUAAAUAUUAGAGUGGAGUGAGUACGUUUCUCCCUUUAUGCUGGCAUCCACCCCAUUGGUGAGACGCCACUCUGGCGACGGUGCCUAACAAGGUGAAAAGUGCUCAGAUAUAAGUCAAGUGCUCAGAUGUCAUAAAAGAUACCUUUUUCCAGUGAUAAGUGAGUGAUACUUUUGUUUCUUUCUACAGGUGUGCAGAUGACAAGCCAUUAGUUCCAAUCUACCAGGUAUCAAAGGAGAAGAUAACAAGCUUGGGCAUGGAACUGACUCCGUUGGCAAUAAGCAUCAAGGAGACCAUCGUGAGCUUGAAAGAGAAAGGAUUUGUUACUUUUGAUUCAAGCAACCUGUGAAACAACAGAGCCCCAUAUCUGAACUUGAUUGUCAUAACGGGUAGGCAUCGCGGGAACUUUGCACGUAAUUAUUACAACUGUAGUCUUCACUGUGACUUGAAAUAAGUGGAGGCAAAUUGCAAUGCCUUGAUUAUUCUUCGAUGUUUCUAGUAUUAUUAGGGCAUAUAUAAAGAUGUUUAUUAACUGACUUUUUUAAUCACUAUGUAUGUAAAUUUGGUGACAUGCAGAUCUCUGAAAAUUGCCGGUUGUUUAUGUUUAGUUAGUGAUGUUGUUCAGUUAGUGCUGUAGAUGUGCUUGUAUCAACUUUUUUUCAAUUCUUA
rnacentral:lncRNA from 1 species